rnacentral:rRNA from 1 species
CCUACGGGCGGCAGCAGUGGGGAAUAUUGGACAAUGGGGGCAACCCUGAUCCAGCCAUGCCGCGUGUGUGAAGAAGGCCCUCGGGUUGUAAAGCACUUUCAGUGAGGAAGAACGCCUGGUGGUUAAUACCCAUCAGGAAAGACAUCACUCACAGAAGAAGCACCGGCUAACUCCGUGCCAGCAGCCGCGGUAAUACGGAGGGUGCGAGCGUUAAUCGGAAUUACUGGGCGUAAAGCGCGCGUAGGUGGCUUGAUAAGCCGGUUGUGAAAGCCCCGGGCUCAACCUGGGAACGGCAUCCGGAACUGUCAAGCUAGAGUGCAGGAGAGGAAGGUAGAACUCCCGGUGUAGCGGUGAAAUGCGUAGAGAUCGGGAGGAAUACCAGUGGCGAGGGCGGCCUUCUGGACUGACACUGACACUGAGGUGCGAAAGCGUGGGUAGCAAACAGGAUUAGAUACCCCAGUAGUC